GACGAACGCUGGCGGCGUGCCUAAUACAUGCAAGUAGAACGCUGAAGGGAGAGCUUGCUCUUCUGGAUGAGUUGCGAACGGGUGAGUAACGCGUAGGUAACCUGCCUGGUAGCGGGGGAUAACUAUUGGAAACGAUAGCUAAUACCGCAUAAUAGUAGAUGUUGCAUGACAUUUGCUUGAAAGGUGCAAUUGCAUCACUACCAGAUGGACCUGCGUUGUAUUAGCUAGUUGGUGGGGUAACGGCUCACCAAGGCGACGAUACAUAGCCGACCUGAGAGGGUGAUCGGCCACACUGGGACUGAGACACGGCCCAGACUCCUACGGGAGGCAGCAGUAGGGAAUCUUCGGCAAUGGACGGAAGUCUGACCGAGCAACGCCGCGUGAGUGAAGAAGGUUUUCGGAUCGUAAAGCUCUGUUGUAAGAGAAGAACGAGUGUGAGAGUGGAAAGUUCACA
rnacentral:rRNA from 1 species